rnacentral:lncRNA from 1 species
GGCAAGCAGCUUAGAUCCAGGCAAGGGAAGACAGAACCGUCUUUAACCAGAGAAGCAGAAACAGUUGUAGCACAGCUCAUAGAGAAAGUGUUGGAGCAUGGAGUAAAUUCAACUGCCUGGGUAGCGCGCCAGCUGGAGGAAGGCAGCAAUUGGAUAACUGGAUUUGUGUCAGGAAAAUGAGAGAGAGGAGGAAGGGAGUGAGAGAGACAGACAGAGGGAGGGAGAGAAAGAGAGAUUGAGCUUUCUUCUUCCUCCCUUCUAUUUGGCCUUGGAAUACCCUGCAGACAAAGAUGGACUUCCUUUAGCCGUGUCCUCUGGCCCAGGCUACCAUCACCCCCCAAAGCCCUGAGCUUGAAACUGGGGUCAAGGUAUGGUUAUUAAUGAGAGAACAGCUCCCUGCUCCUCCUCCUCAUCAGUGAGCUUAAAAACAGCAAUUGUCGCCACAAAUGAAGAAUGUUCACGUUUGUUUUACAACUUCUUAAUGCACCGCAUUCAGUCUUCCUGUAAACUUGACUGCUUAGUCCUUAAAGUAUAUUGGUGGAGCAAUGUCUGCAUGCCUUCGUCAACACAUCUAUUGGCCUGUUUGUCCCAGCAUCCCAGUUGGAAUGGGAACCCUUCUAAGAAAAGCCUUUAUCCUUUACUCACCUACAAACUCACUGGGCACCCCCGGAAUUGUGGUCCUGGGCGUAUAGCAGGUGUCUAGUCACUCUUUUCUGGUUGUGCCAGUAAUUGGGGCCUGAUUACAAUUCUGUUUCAUCCAGUGCACCUCAAUGGAGAGAAACCAGCAAGAAACUCAUGCUUUCUGCCCCAUCUCCUUCCUUUCUUCUGUGUGUAAAGUGGAGAAAAGGCUGGAGAGUGUGGUAAGAUAGGAAGAAACCAAGCAAAGCACACAUAAACAAACAAAUGAAUAAAUAAAAGGGAAAAAUAGGGGAGAUUUUGAGUUGUCAAGAAAAGAAGAACUCUGAACUUUUGGCACAGACUCAAACCUGGAAACCCAGUGAGGUUUGCCCAUCACUAAUGAUCACAUAAUAAUAUGUUCCCAGGGGAGGGGCUGAGAGAGGCUAUUAAAAUACCGCAGCUCUGGUGCUCUAUGGGAGACAAGUUUUCUGAAACGUGGUCCCUGUCAGAUUUCCCUUGAGAGUCAAAGGGAAAAAUGACUGCAGUUUGGCUUCUAAAAGGUAAAAUGUUGGGAAAACUCACUGGGGAGGUUUCUUUCCCCAGCACAGGGUUUGGAAAUGCCUGCGUUUGCGUUGUAUAUUUUAAAUGUGGUGAUGGGCCAGCUUGUUAAGUGUGCUGGCUUGCUUACUGGGUGACUGGCAGGCAGCCGUAAGUGAGCGGAAACAAAACCAUUUGUGGGGUAUGAGGUGGCCAAGGUAGCCAGAACCAGCCUUUUGUGAUGUCUUCAAUAAAAACAGUUAUUUCAACGGGUGUUGGCAACUCGGCCUUUCCUUCUAGAAAGAUAGGAUUCUUGGGUGGAGUACACAUGGGUCUACGGGCAUCUUGACUGAUCACUGUGGCCUAUGAAAAGCCCUAAUUUCACCAUAUCUUAUGGGUUACACAUGGUAGGGCUCAGUAAAGGGUUUUGUGUUUUGUUUUUUGUGUUUUUUGAGACAGAGUGUCAGUCUUGUUGCCCAG